GCGUCGAUGGUGCAACGGUUAGAGCACGCGCCUGCGGAUGGGGUGAGAUGCGGGUUCGAAUCCCGCCUGACGCA